CGCAGACACUGAGACCCCACGGCGGACGUCCCCCGCUGCAGCCCAGCUUUUGGCGAAACCAUCUUUGUGAUUCAGGCGUGUUUAUCCCAGCCUGUGGCCCGGCCCAGCGUGGGUUUCCAUGGAAAACUUCCAUCGAAAACAAGGAGAAAAGGAGUUACAGCAGGAGUGACUCAGCCACAACUGGAAGCUUCUGCGGAUGAGGCAGAGAAGGGGGGGACUCUUCCCACCAGCUUGGUCCCAACUGGGCAGCGGGGCCCAGGGACACCCCUGGAUGUGUCCAGCAGUUCUCUCGUGCCCAAAUCCCAGCACACUGCAGCUCACAAGAAGGUAGAUCAUAGGAACUAGACCUGGACCAGCAAAAGGUAUGUGGCACGGGGCUGAGCUGCUGCCGAGGUGGCAGAAGGCAAGCAGAGGUGCAAGUGGUGCUGCGUGGCAUGGGGCAGACACAGCCAUGCUCAGAGGGGCUGUGGUGGGCAGGAUUCCCAGGGCACGGCCCCCUCCUCCGACCAGCAGGUGAUGUCUGCAGGAGUCACUUCCCUCCUCCCAUCACAGCAGGUGCAAAAACCACCUUCCUCCCGCCCUGCUGACACCUCAUGCAGAUGAAGGGUCGGCUUGAUUUGUUUUUAUUAUUUGCUUUCAGCUCAGGGAGAAGACACCUGGCUUUUUUUAAUUUUUUUUAUUGAACCCCCUGAGAAUGAGAUGCAGGUGCUGGAGUAUCAAAAAGCCCCCAGAAUUCAAGCCCACCCACUCAUCAACCCCCCCUUCCCCCCCCCUCCAUUCUCCCCAGAAGAGCCGCAUGGGAAGCAGCAGGGCCAUUCUGCUCACUCACCACGCACACACAGGUCCAUCCCUGUUUCCAACGCCAGCGAACGGCUGCGGUGCCUCCGGCCGGUGCUGCUGCGGGACACGGGG